rnacentral:lncRNA from 1 species
GGGUUGCAGGGCAGCCUCUUGCACAGCUGUGGCACCUUUCACUAAGGCUGGGCCUUGGGAGGCAGCCUCCAUACACAGGCAGGGGCUUAGGAAGGUGGAGACACCCUGGGAGGACAAUCUGGGAGCUGUGGAGACAGCAGUGGGCAGUGUGCCUGUGGAGUGCAUUCCCCUAGCAGGGGAAAGAGCUGCAGUGGUGGGAAAUCUUGAAGAGUCUUACACUUUUAAUCCUCCAGUCAUUAACUGUGCUAUGAGGACGUUCUGGUGAGGUGGUGGGAGUAAAAAGCAACUGUUUUCCUCACCCUUUACAACCCAGUUAAGAAUUUGACUGACAGAAUGUUGGCACCAGCUGUGGCAGAACUGAUCAGCCUCAACUCCAAGUAAGUGAUGUCUUACACAUUUGGAUAUUAAUUUUAGACUAAAUUUACAAAACCUGCUGAUUUCUA